UGCAGUCGAACGGCAGCACGGGAGCAAUCCUGGUGGCGAGUGGCGAACGGGUGAGUAAUACAUCGGAACGUGCCCAAUCGUGGGGGAUAACGCAGCGAAAGCUGUGCUAAUACCGCAUACGAUCUACGGAUGAAAGCAGGGGAUCGCAAGACCUUGCGCGAAUGGAGCGGCCGAUGGCAGAUUAGGUAGUUGGUGAGGUAAAGGCUCACCAAGCCUUCGAUCUGUAGCUGGUCUGAGAGGACGACCAGCCACACUGGGACUGAGACACGGCCCAGACUCCUACGGGAGGCAGCAGUGGGGAAUUUUGGACAAUGGGCGAAAGCCUGAUCCAGCCAUGCCGCGUGCAGGAUGAAGGCCUUCGGGUUGUAAACUGCUUUUGUACGGAACGAAACGGCCUUUUCUAAUAAAGAGGGCUAAUGACGGUACCGUAAGAAUAAGCACCGGCUAACUACGUGCCAGCAGCCGCGGUAAUACGUAGGGUGCGAGCGUUAAUCGGAAUUACUGGGCGUAAAGCGUGCGCAGGCGGUUAUGUAAGACAGUUGUGAAAUCCCCGGGCUCAACCUGGGAACUGCAUCUGUGACUGCAUAGCUAGAGUACGGUAGAGGGGGAUGGAAUUCCGCGUGUAGCAGUGAAAUGCGUAGAUAUGCGGAGGAACACCGAUGGCGAAGGCAAUCCCCCUGGACCUGUACUGA
rnacentral:rRNA from 1 species